rnacentral:rRNA from 1 species
UACGGAGGGUGCGAGCGUUAAUCGGAAUUACUGGGCGUAAAGGGUGCGUAGGUGGUUUAAUAAGUUAGCUGUGAAAUCCCCGGGCUUAACCUGGGCAGGUCAGCUAAGACUGUUAGACUCGAGUAUAGGAGAGGGUAGUGGAAUUUCCGGUGUAGCGGUGAAAUGCGUAGAGAUCGGAAGGAACACCAGUGGCGAAGGCGGCUACCUGGCCAGAUACUGACACUGAGGCACGAAAGCGUGGGGAGCAAACAGG